rnacentral:lncRNA from 1 species
GAAAGACUAGGGAGAGGGAUGGCUAGUGAGGUUUAGAUCAUGUUGAGCCCUACCUUUGUUUUGUGGGAUGUUGGAUAUCCCUUAUACACCUAUGGAUCCAUCUGCAUUAUUGCAUUAAUUAUUUGGCAAGUGAAAAAGAGCUGCCAAAAAUUAAGCUUGGUACCUAACAGGAGCUGUUGCCGGUGUCACCGAAGAGUCCAACAAAAGUCUGGAGAUAGAACAUCAAGAGCUAGGAGAACUUCACAGGAAGAAGCCGAGAAGUUGUGGAAGCUGCUGUUUCUCAUGAAAAGCCAGGGCUGGCUUCCUCAGGAAGGAAGUGUGCGGCGAAUCCUGUGUGCAGACCCCUGCUGCCAAAUCUGCAAUGUUAUGGCUCUGGAGAUUAAGCAAUUGCUGAAGCUCCAGAAGUUGGCUUGGAUAACAAGAUGAAGCUGUUUCUGCACUGGAUUAACCCUGAAAUGAAAGAUCGAA